GGUAAGGCUCCCCAAGGCUUCGACGGUACCCGCCUGAGAGGGUACCGCCACACUGGGACUGAGACACGGCCCAGACUCCUACGGGAGGCAGCAGUGGGAAUAUUGCACAAUGGGCGCAAGCCUGAUGCAGCAACGCCGCGUGAGGGACGACGGCCUUCGGGUUGUAAACCUCUUUUAGCAGGGAAGAAGCGAAAGUGACGGUACCUGCAGAAAAAGCGCCGGCUAACUACGUGCCAGCAGCCGCGGUAAUACGUAGGGCGCAAGCGUUAUCCGGAAUUAUUGGGCGUAAAGAGCUCGUAGGCGGUUUGUCGCGUCUGCUGUGAAAUCCGGAGGCUCAACCUCCGGCCUGCAGUGGGUACGGGCAGACUAGAGUGCGGUAGGGGAGAUUGGAAUUCCUGGUGUAGCGGUGGAAUGCGCAGAUAUCAGGAGGAACACCGAUGGCGAAGGCAGAUCUCUGGGCCGUAACUGACGCUGAGGAGCGAAAGGGUGGGGAGCAAACAGGCUUAGAUACCCUGGUAGUCCACCCCGUAAACGUUGGGAACUAGUUGUGGGGUCCAUUCCACGGAUUCCGUGACGCAGCUAACGCAUUAAGUUCCCCGCCUGGGGAGUACGGCCGCAAGGCUAAAACUCAAAGGAAUUGACGGGGACCCGCACAAGCGGCGGAGCAUGCGGAUUAAUUCGAUGCAACGCGAAGAACCUUACCAAGGCUUGACAUAUACGAGAACGGGCCAGAAAUGGUCAACUCUUUGGACACUCGUAAACAGGUGGUGCAUGGUUGUCGUCAGCUCGUGUCGUGAGAUGUUGGGUUAAGUCCCGCAACGAGCGCAACCCUCGUUCUAUGUUGCCAGCACGUAAUGGUGGGAACUCAUGGGAUACUGCCGGGGUCAACUCGGAGGAAGGUGGGGAUGACGUCAAAUCAUCAUGCCCCUUAUGUCUUGGGCUUCACGCAUGCUACAAUGGCCGGUACAAAGGGCUGCAAUACCGCGAGGUGGAGCGAAUCCCAAAAAGCCGGUCCCAGUUCGGAUUGAGGUCUGCAACUCGACCUCAUGAAGUCGGAGUCGCUAGUAAUCGCAGAUCAGCAACGCUGCGGUGAAUACGUUCCCGGGUCUUGUACACACCGCCCGUCAAGUCAUGAAAGUCGGUAACACCUGAAGCCGGUUGCCUAACCCUUGUGGA
rnacentral:rRNA from 1 species